AGUGAACGCUGGCGGUAGGCCUAACACAUGCAAGUCGAACGGCAGCACAGUAAGAGCUUGCUCUUACGGGUGGCGAGUGGCGGACGGGUGAGGAAUACAUCGGAAUCUACUUUUUCGUGGGGGAUAACGUAGGGAAAAUUACGCUAAUACCGCAUACGACCUACGGGUGAAAGCAGGGGAUCUUCGGACCUUGCGCGAUUGAAUGAGCCGAUGUCGGAUUAGCUAGUUGGCGGGGUAAAGGCCCACCAAGGCGACGAUCCGUAGCUGGUCUGAGAGGAUGAUCAGCCACACUGGAACUGAGACACGGUCCAGACUCCUACGGGAGGCAGCAGUGGGGAAUAUUGGACAAUGGGCGCAAGCCUGAUCCAGCCAUGCUGCGUGGGUGAAGAAGGCCUUCGGGUUGUAAAGCCCUUUUGUUGGGAAAGAAAAGCAGCAGGUUAAUACCCCGCUGUUCUGACGGUACCCAAAGAAUAAGCACCGGCUAACUUCGUG
rnacentral:rRNA from 1 species